rnacentral:rRNA from 1 species
CCUACGGGGGGCAGCAGUGAGGAAUAUUGGUCAAUGGGCGCGAGCCUGAACCAGCCAAGUCGCGUGAGGGAGGACGGCCCUACGGGUUGUAAACCGCUUUUGCCGGGGAGCAACGGGCGGCACGUGUGGCGCCACUGAGAGGACCCGGAGAAAAAGCAGCGGCUAACUCCGGGCCAGCAGCCGCGGGAAUAAGGAGGAUGCGAGCGUUAUCCGGAUUGAUUGGGUUGAAAGGGUGCGUAGGCGGAUCGUUAAGUCAGUGGUCAAAUUGCGGGGCUCACCCCCUUCCCGCCAUUGAAACUGGCGCUCUUGAGUGGACGCGAAGUAUGCGGAAUGCGUGGUGUAGCGGU